GACGUAGGGGGCCAGCGUUGCUCGGAAUUACUGGGCGUAAAGGGUUCGUAGGCGGUGUGGCAAGUCGGGAGUGAAAUCUCUGGGCUUAACUCAGAGGCUGCUUCCGAAACUGCCGUGCUAGAGUGCGGGAGAGGCGAGUGGAAUUGCCGGUGUAGCGGUGAAAUGCGUAGAUAUCUGCAGGAACACCCGUGGCGAAGGCGGCUCGCUGGACCGCAACUGACGCUGAGGAACGAAAGCUAGGGGAGCAAACAGG
rnacentral:rRNA from 1 species